rnacentral:lncRNA from 1 species
CACAACUUCCGGUGGGGCGGCCGCCAUCUUGGAGGGCCGCGUCCGGCGCCGCCGCCGCCGCCGAUUCGUCCGUCGCUUUAAUAAAGGGACCCGGAGGAGAUCACGUGGCUGCCGCCCCCCCCACGUGGAGAUGGAGGAGGGGGGGAAGGCGGGCAGUGAGACGGACGCGAUGACGUCGGACGACUUUGACAUCGUUAUCGAGGCCAUGCUGGAGGCGCCGUAUAAGAAAGAGGAGUGCCAGCCGGGACCUUCGAAGCCACCGACGGAGCCGCCACCCCCACAGCAGCCAACAGAGGAGCCCAGCAAGGAGCCAAAAAAGGAAAAUGGGGCCGGGAGCAGGUAACAAAAAUGGGGUGAAAAUGGGCAAAAAUGGGCAAAAAUGGGGUAAAAAUGGCGAUUUUGGGGCAAAAAUGGGCAAAAAUGGGCUAAAAAUGGGCAAAAAUGGACCAAAAAUGGCGAUUUUGGGGUAAAAAUGGGCCAAAAAUGGUGAUUUUGGGGCAAAAAUGGGCAAAAAUGGGGCAAAAAUGGGGGAAUUUGGGGCAAAAAUGGGGGAAUUUGGGGCAAAAAUGGGGGAUUUGGGGGAGAAAAUGGGAAUUUUGGGAUUAAAAUGGGGAAAUUUGGGUCAAAAAUGGGGGAUUUUGAGGUAAAAAUGUGCAAAAAUGGGCCAAAAAUGGUGAUUUUGGGGCAAAAAUGGGCAAAAAUGGGGCAAAAAUGGCAAUUUUGGGUCAAAAUGGGCUAAAAAUGGCGAUUUUGGGGCAAAAAUGGGCAAAAAUGGGCCAAAAUGGGCAAAAAUGGGGCAAAAAUGGGCAAAAAUGGGCCAAAAAUGGCGAUUUUGGGGUAAAAAUGGGCAAAAAUGGGCCAAAAAUGGCGAUUUUGGGGCAAAAAUGGGCAAAAAAUGG